rnacentral:lncRNA from 1 species
GCAAUCCCCCUCCACCACCUCGGACAGUCUGAUCACCUUUCUUUGUUUCUCACUCCUAAGUAUUCACCCCUCAUCAACCGUGUGAAGCCAUCAGUGAGGACCAUCAAAGUGUGGCCAACUGGAGCAGACUCUUUACUUCAAGACAGGUUUCAACACACUGACUGGAGUAUGUUUGCUUCUCAGGCUGCCUGUGGCUCUCACACGGACAUUGAUAUCUACACCUCCUCUGUACUGGAUCACAUCAACACCACCAUUGAAAGUGUUACAACAGAAAAACAGAUAACAACAUACCCUAAUCAGAAGCCAUGGAAGAACAAGGAGGUGCGACUUCUGCUGAAAGCCCCGCAACUCUGCCUUCAGGUCAGAUGACACUCAGGCCUACAGUAAAUCCAGGGCUAACCUGAAAAAGGGCAUCAAAAAAGGCCAAGUAUUGCACAAGCUGAAGGUAGAGGAACACUUUUCCAACUCUGACCCCCAACACUUGUGGCAGGGCAUCCAGAUCAUCAGUGACUACAAGUCAAGCAACUCCACUCCAACGGUCCCGGAUGUCUCCUUCCUUAACGAGCUAAAUUACUUUUCUGCUCGCUUCAACAGCGACAGCAAGGAGACGGCCACCAAAAUUACACACUCAGCAGACCACCAACCUCUCAAACUCACCUCCACAGAUGUCCACACUGCACUGAGCCGGAUCAACGAAUGCAAGGCUGCUGGCCCGGAUAGCAUCCCUGGAUGUGUGCUUAGGGCAUGUGCAGAGCAGCUUGCAGGGGUCUUCACAGACAUUUUCAACCUGUCCCUCACCCAAGCAACUGUGCCAACAUGUUUUAAGUCCACAUCCAUUGUGCCAGUACCGAAACACUCCUCCCCAAUGUGCCUAAAUGACUAUCGCCCAGUAGCACUCACACCUAUUACUAUGAAGUCCUUUGAGCGACUGGUCCUAGCACACCUCAAAGACUGCCUCCCACCCACACUGGACCCACACCAAUUUGCCUACUGCAGAAAUA